GCAAAAUAAGGGCCGCGGAUUUAGCUCAGUGGUUUUGUUGCCUGCUGUGAAAGUGCAAGGACCUGAGUUCGAUCCCCGGUACCAAAAAAAAAAAGAGAGCAAAAUAAAGGAUGAUAAUGGAAAUCGGGGAGACAAAUUUUUCACAGAUGGGAAGGGGACCAAGAAUGGAGGGAGGGGAGCAGAAGGGGAUGAAAGAAGAACUUAACACGCAUUAUGCACAUGUGCUAGCUCCCCAAGAGGAGUGAAAUCAAUAUGCACUGCAAGCAUGCAGCAUGCAGUAAUUGCCCAGGCUGGUCUCAGAUUUGUGAUCCUCCUGCCUCAGCCUCCCAGAGUGCUGGGAUUAUAGGAGUGUGCCACUGUGCUUAACUAGGGUUUGCAUUUUAAAUGUCUUACCAAACCUACAUGCUCAAAGGCUCAGUGGCGGCCAGCCUGUGCUGCUGCUGGGGGAUGGUGAACCUGUUAGGGUGCUGGGCUUAGAAGGAGGAAGUGAGGUCAUAGAGGGUGUGGCCUCAAAGGGGACCUUGGAACCCUGGACUCUUCCCCUUUCUCUCUCUUUGCUUCUUGCCAAGGAAGCCCUAAGCUACAGGGCCAAAGAUCAUGGACGAAACCUCUGAAGCCAUGAGCCUGGAUAAAACCUCAGUAUGCCUUGUUUAUCUCAGGUAUCUGUCACAGAGAUGGAAGAUAUCGCUAGAAGUUCUUUGAAAUCAUGAAGAAGUUUCUUCUUAUACAAGAGCAAAGCAAGAAGAAAUGGGAAGUUUGGGACGGGGCUAGAGCUGCAAGAGGAGGCUGAGAAGCAAGAGAAUCUGUGACAGUACCAGGGCUCCAGGGGCGUUGGGAUCCAGAGCGCAGCUGUCAGGUGAGUUCUCGGCUUCACCUCGGAGUUCUCCGCUCCGCGCCAGGGGAGGCGGCUUAGGAGCAAGUCGGGGGUGGAGAGGCGCCCAGGUAGGCCCGGCCCCUCCCCGCCCUGCCUGUCUUCCCACCUCCGACCCGACUGCUCUCCCAAACCGUGCCCCGCGCAGCCCCCCUGCAGCCCCCGAG